rnacentral:rRNA from 1 species
UCCGGCAUAACCCCGGGAAACUGGGGAUAAUUCCGGAUAACGCACAUAUGCUGGAAUGUUUUAUGCGUAAAAUGGAUUCGUCUGCCCAAGGAUGGGUCUUCCGCCUAUCAGGUAGUAAUGGGUGUAAUGUACCUACUAGCCUACACCGGGUACGGGUUGUGAGAGCAAGAGCCCGAAGAUGGAUUCUGAGACAUGAAUCCAGGCCCUACGGGGCGCAGCAGGCGCGAAAACUUUACAAUGCGGGAAACCGUGAUAAGGAGACACCGAGUGCUAGCAUCAUAUGCUGGCUGUCCAGGUGUAUAAAAUACACUUGUUAGCAAGGGCCGGGCAAGACCGGUGCCAGCCGCCGCGGUAACACCGGCGGCCCGAGUGGUGAUCGUGAUUAUUGGGUCUAAAGGGUCCGUAGCCGGUUUGGUCAGUCCUCCGGGAAAUCUGAUAGCUCAACUAUUAGGCUUUCGGGGGAUACUGCCAGACUUGGAACCGGGAGAGGUAAGAGGUACUACAGGGGUAGGAGUGAAAUCUUGUAAUCCCUGUGGGACCACCUGUGGCGAAGGCGACUUACCAGAACGGGUUCGACGGUGAGGGACGAAAGCUGGGGGCACGAACCGGAUUAGAUACCCGGGUAGUCCCAGCCGUAAACGAUGCUCGCUAGGUGUCAGGCAUGGCGCGACCGUGUCUGGUGCCGCAGGGAAGCCGUGAAGCGAGCCACCUGGGAAGUACGGCCGCAAGGCU